rnacentral:lncRNA from 1 species
UUUAUUGAACCUUCCGAGUCUAGGGCGGUGGGUGUACGCAUAGGCUCAGCUAGGUAUUUGGUUGCCCAGAGUAGCCGAUUAUUUACGAUGUUAUUGAUACUGUUAUUAUCAUUGUUAUGAUCAUUAUUAUAGCUAGCCUAUGACAGAUUGGUCAUGGAUCCGGUAUUAGGAUUGAGGUAUGUCUUCGACCUUUGCUAUCUUAUGAUUACAUUACUA